rnacentral:rRNA from 1 species
AUUGAACGCUGGCGGCAGGCCUAACGCAUGCAAGUCGAGCGGAUGAGGGGUGCUUGCACCCCGAUUCAGCGGCGGACGGGUGAGUAAUGCCUAGAAAUCUGCCCGAUAGUGGGGGACAACGUUUCGAAAGGAACGCUAAUACCGCAUACGUCCUACGGGAGAAAGUGGGGGCUCUUCGGACCUCACGCUAUCGGAGGAGCCUAGGUCGGAUUAGCUAGUUGGUGGGGUAAAGGCUCACCAAGGCGACGAUCCGUAACUGGUCUGAGAGGAUAAUCAGUCACACUGGAGCUGAGACACGGUCCAGACUCCUACGGGAGGCAGCAGUGGGGAAUAUUGGACAAUGGGCGAAAGCCUGAUCCAGCCAUGCCGCGUGUGUGAAGAAGGUCUUCGGAUUGUAAAGCACUUUAAGUCGGGAGGAAGGGCUGUAGGUUAAUACCUUGCAGCCUUGACGUUACCGACAGAAUAAGCACCGGCUAACUUCGUGCCAGCAGCCGCGGUAAUAC